AUCUACAAAAAAGUAAAAAUUCAAACUAAGAUUUUGAUCAUUCAGUAGUUGCUGUUUCUUCUUUCUUGUCUUCUUUCUUGUCUUCUUUUUUUCCAUCAUCUCCCUUGUUUU
rnacentral:ribozyme from 1 species